GUUAAGAUGUCUGAUUAAAAGUGGUAAACUGUAAAUUUACUUAUGGGAUUUCCCUCUUAAUA
rnacentral:tRNA from 1 species